ensembl:lncRNA
CGGUAACGGAGACCCCAACAUCUGCCGUGAUGAGCGUUUCGCAGGAAGUCAGUGUUUCUACCAAGUCCUGGAAAAUGAAAGACUCGGAGGACGAAGACAUAGACAAAGUGACGAUGUUUGACCUGGUCUGCUCGAAAAUGAGAGAGAUGGUCCUGCUGCAGCGGCUGGUAGUUAUCGCACAGCUCUCCCGUGAUGUUGUCGAUAGGAAAGAAGUAGGAGGUAAGUUAGUAGAAGUAGGAGUUAGAGCUGCACAGACUGAUGUAUUAAUCACCAACUACAGAUUUAAUCCAGUUUUCCUUCAGGGGAGACGAAAAGUGAUGCCAAUCUAUUUGAUAUCACACAAGCAGUCCAAGCUGUGAGUGUAUAUUGUUUGAGUGCUUUUAUAGCUUUCACACCUUUUGUGUGUGUGUAAGACUGAGUCUGCAGGGAAUAAUGUAAUAAAAGCUGGAGGAAGGGCUGGUGAGGCUCUCAUGUUAUUAACAGCUUUGUUGCGUCCACACAGCACAUUAUGAAAAUCUCAACUUUCAGCUGAACAAGCAGUUCAAAAGGGAUCUGAUAACCGGCCUGCUGCUCAUCUAUCCAUCCUGUCUGCUGUACAUCAUUGAAUCAUCCAGGGAUUUUCUACUUUCUGUUUUAAAAGACCUCCAAGCCAUGCAGCAAAAACCAGAUGGUACCUUGCUGAAAGCUAAGAUUGUGUUCAUGGCGCACAACCCUGAGAGCAGGAUGUUUCAGCAGUGGAGCUACAAGGUGAUGGACGCAGCUCAGGUGGCUGUGGACACAGGGAUUAAACGACUCGAGGAGGAUGAGGAGAGCACAGAGACUCUGGUUUGCAGUGUCCUCUCAUCGCUGCAGAAACUAAGUGAAAACCUGCAAGUGUCUAGGAUGGUACUUCCUGGAUUGGUGUUGGAUCAGACUCCACAGAUGAUCAUCCCUCAGAAGGUUCUGGACAAACUCUUGUGUAGAGACGAACUACAGAGUCCAGCACAACAUCUGCAGAUGUACAACUCACCCUUAGACAUCAGCAUGGAGUUUGGACAAGUUAAUCCACUAAACUUCUACUCCAGUGUUUAACUGUUUGGACAAGAGGUCAGAGAACGUGGCCUUUGCUAAAACACCUCGGACAUGACUCAAGACUUCCUAAGCUUCAGUUUUAUUCAACAAUAUACUCUUGUACUGUUCAGGACUGUCCAUUUAACAUCAUCUUAGAUCAUUCAUAAUAAAAAAGCACCAAAUAUCCAAGUAAUAUAAAAACAUUUUAAUAGUUUCAACAUUUGGAUAAGGAUUUUUUUUAUCUUAAAUUGUGUUCCACUUGGUGACUGAGAGAUAGCAUGUCCAAGAAAAGGCAUUUCCUCUUUAUCCAUACUCACAGCAUCACUACACAUUGACACAAAGAUUCCUUGAUUACUUCUUCCCUUUUUUAUUUUGGCCCCCUUUACUUGGAACUUAAGGAAAAAACCAGGAUUAAUGUCAAUGGCUGCAAUGUCUGCAUGCACCACAGUGUAAUCUACAGACUGUACAGGUACAAAUAAACCUGUAUGUAACAUAUUUUUUCUCAUUUGUUGUAUUAUUUCAGAGCAAUCUUCAGGUGAUUUAAGUCCUCUCACAUAUAGUCUUCCGCACCUGACAGUGGUCUGAGAUGUGCUUUUUUUCAUAUAUUUUGCUAUAGAUAAAACUAAUGGAAUAUUUGAGGAGAUGCUGUGAAAACAACAUUUAAACAAACUUGGCAGAACUUAUUGGACAAAACAAAGUUUGAGGGCAGCACUGAAUUUUUCCUCAUAUUUCAAAGUUCAAUCUAUUCACUUAUAUAAAAAAUAAAUACAAGCACAUUUAUAUAGGACCAAAGAUGAGACAUAUUUCAUAGGCAUGGUUAAAAAGCAUGCUGCUUAGUUUCACACAGGACAAUGUCAAAUCAAGCCCCCCCUCCCCCCUUCAAAAACUGCUCACUGUAUACACUACCCCUCCACCUUCUUACAAAACAAUGUCCACAACACACAUAAUCCGCUUUAUCACAACGACCUAUGAGGUGAACAUCAGCUAUCAUUGAUACAUUCCACCAAUUAGUGUAAAAAAAAAGGCCUUCACAUUUUAGUGCUGCAAGAAUGAAAAGUGUGUCUGGAAUCUGUCGUUGACUGUUUCUGCUCAACUGUUAAUAAUGUUGAGUUUGAGUAUGCACAAGCCUUUUAGUACAAAAUUAGGAGCAGUACGCUGUGACACAAAAAUCCAGACAAAGACGGGACAAACACCUCAGCACAGCCUAACUGCAACUUUAAAAAACUGGUUUGUGGUCGGCUAAGAAUUAGAGUCAUGCUGCAUUGAUUCAAACUAAAGCUUGCUAAAACUAUUUUGAUUCCUAUUUAAUUAUUUUUUUUAAUGUAAAAAAUGCCAUAUAUUGUUUUACUUUAAGGCUCAAUAUGGUGAAAAUGUACUGCUUUUAUUGGUACACUUUUUGUGUUUUUAUUUGUAGGUAUUUCACUUCUUGUCUACGAUGGCUCUUUUUAUUUAUUUAUUUUUUUGGCAUUAUGAAGAAAAAAUGAAAGAUUAGCCUACUUGAUAAAUAAUUUGCAAACUUUCAGUUUUUCUUUUUGAAUCAAUUAACAUAGUUUUCCAACACCAUGCUCUAAUCUGUCUUUUAUCAAGUAUACCCACUUGGAGUUGAUGUCAGUUGUUGUGUGUAACUGGGGGAGAUUUGUUUUCUGCUGUGUCACAGUUACAGCAGCAAUGAUGCAGCAGUUUCCAUGCAGUUGCCUUGAGCCCUGUAACAUAUUACCAUCAAUCCGUAUUGAUCCAAACAGCUGCAGGUUUUUUGUGAUGAAGCAUUCUGCAAACCAACAGAAAAUUACAACACAAUAUUCACAUUUUCAGAAAUAUACCUUGAUGGCUAUAAAGACUUUUUUACAGUGCUAUUUUAGCAAUUACUCCCACUAUUAAAAGGGGGCAACAAAAGUUCUGCGCUGUAGCUUUAAAUCUCGGUGGUAUUGUGUGGCUGCAGGGAUGUUUUUUGGAGUGAGCUAGAGCUAAUGCUAGAGGCUAUUAUCAGGGCUCAGGAGGUUGAUUGUGAGGUCAGAAACUCUUAUUUAAAACAGCUGCAAACUAGGUUAAACCUUGAGCCUAUUGAACCAUGUUACAUAAUGUUAUUUUAUGUGAAAGUGUCAUUAUUGUGCUAGGACCAGCAACAUUAUAAUAUUACAGUAUAUGUACAGUUUAAUGCUAUAAUAUUCAUCAUCAUGUAUAAUCUUCAAUACAGUAUUUGUAUAUAUAUCUAUAUAUUUUACGUAUCAGUUUAUCCUGUCAGUAUAUACAGAACAUCUAUGUACAAGAGGCUUCAGUAUAUACAAAAGUCCUGUGAGUAAUAUCGCACUUUAAAGGAUGAUGAUAGUGGAGCAGCACAGUGACUUUGAGGCCAUGUGUCGUGGAUGUUCUCAGGACUAAAGCAAAAGUCUUACAAAUCUGGAUAGGUCACAACAAAACCCACCACAAAGGCAAAUAACAAACUGCUGCUGUUGUACGCAAACCUCGUUUCAAGUUUCCUCUUAAACUGAACCUGUGAUUCCUGAAAAGAUGCGGCAGCAGAAUCUCUGGUCCCGUGUUUGAAUACUUUUUUUUCUCUUUUUUUCUUUUUUUUUAAUCCUCACACUUUGUAAAAAGCAUUCAGAAAUAUAUCUGUAUAAAUACUCUCAUCAAAAUAAACACAUAUACACAUAUCUUUGCACGUGCCUCAGGUUCACUAAUAUAGACCAAAAAUAUCAGCAUCAUCAGACUGGGGUCUUAGAAACGGUACUAUGGUGGAAAGAAAAAAAUGUGCUCAUUUAUAAUAAAACAGCACCUUUUUUUCUGGGUGUAACAAUGUUUUUUGUGAUAUAAUGAUAAAAUAGAUGUAGUGGCAAUUUGCAGAGGAUGAUUCUCAGUUUAACUGUAACAGUUGUUGGAGCUUGAAGUGCAAAUAAUAUAAUAAUAAUUAUUAUUAUUAAACAUCUAUUAUCUUAAAAGAUACAAUAAAAGGGCAGCCUGUUUUUGUCACCUUUUAUCAAGUCACAGCAAGAAGGUUUUAACCUGGCUGGGCCCUUUCUGUGUGGGGUUUGCACAUUCUCCCCUUUGCCUGCAUGGGUUUUUUUUGGGUACUCCGACUUCCACCCACAUACCAAUAGACAUUCAGGUUAGGUUAAUGGGGAAUAAAAUUGGCCAUAGGUGUGCGCAUGACUAGUUGUUAUCCCUACAACAGACUGGUGACCUGUCUCUGCCUCUGACCCAUUGGUAGCUGGGAUAGGCUCCAGCCAUCCUUAUGGUUAGAUUACUUAACCCUUUAACAGGAUGGAUUAUAGACUGUGUAAAAGAAAAGCACUGGUCACUGCUUUUAAUUAAAAAAAAAUUCUUAUUGUUGUGCACUUCAAGCUUCAUACAUAUACUUUCCAUCCUGUACAUUUUCCCCACAUUCUCAAAACUGAGCUUACUUCUAACUCAAAAAUUAGAAAAAUCCCAUGCAACUUUGCCUGCUGCAAAAAUAAUUAUGAACACAUAGACUUUCUCAUCUAUCGUUCAAAAACUUUAAUGUCUCAUAUAUUUUUUUAGCUCCCUGAAAACUGUAGAAGAAGUGGUAUCUUUAUAGUUCUCCCAUGGAUACAAAAUAUGAUCUGAUCUUUACUGUUAGUCAUAUCAUAUAGUACUCUGAAGAUAUACAGUAUAAACAAUAAAUAUCCAGUGACCGAUAUCCCGACUGAAUGCCUUCUAAAUAUAGAGAAAGGUAUGAGUGGACGUUUAACCUCCUUACAGCCUCGUAGGUUUAAAACAUGCAUUUCAGUUUUUUGCGCCAAGACACCAACAGUGCAACAUCAUAUAGUACAAUUAUCACACACCGCCAAAAACACACACACACACACACACACACACCCACCUUUUUCAACACGACAUACUGGCACACUCACAGUGAACACUCAGUUGGGACAGAGGUUUGGGGUUUGUUACCACCACAUGCCAGAGUGAGGCAUUUUAACCAACACCCCUGAUGAAUGAAGGAGGUGAUGGAGAGAGAAAGAAAGGGGGAUUAACAGGACAGAUGUACAGUACUGUGUAGUUUGUUCUCCUAAAAUUCACUCAUGAGUAGCAGCAGCAGCAGCAAAGAGCUCAUUCCUCCCAGCAGCCUGUUUCCAGUUUCAUGUGUGAAGUUAAAGGCAAUAUUGCAAGUGAAUCAAAUAAGGCAAAACAAAUUAAAAUAAAAAAUAAUCCAGCUAAUGGAAAAUGUAAAACUGUGAUCAUCAAACGUGCCCUGUCCAUGUGGCCGCUUUGUUGUUUUACUGGAUAGAAGCGCUUGUUUGUACAUGCUGGCCCUUCUGGAUUUGAGUACAGGGGACGAGUUGAUGAGGAGAUCCAGAGUGGCCAUUGCAGCAAGUAAUCCAACUUGGGGGUUGAGUGCGGGAUUAUUAAGCAAAGAUGGUGCAGGAGUAGCAGUUGGGUUUUAUCGGGGGGAACUCAGCGGCUGUCAUAGCACUGUGCUUUCAGACUCCUCCUCGGAGUCUGCCCUGCUGUUGGUUGUUUCGAGCAGUGCCACUGAGUUCUUGAAGGGGUAGACGUAAGUCAAAUCAAAUAUACCGUCCAGUUCCAUGUUGAUGAUGGGGAUGUCCAAGUUGCAGAGGGAAUCUGGCAGAACAGAAAGAAACAUCUGAGGAUAAGCAGAUAAAAUAAAUGUUGAGUGAAACAGAUGUGGUGUUUUUCCACUGCAGGAACUCAGGGACACAAAGUGCCUCGAUUGUUUACAGGACUGCCCCCCUGUAAAGUUCCAUGACAACAACAAAACAUGUAGACUGCCUUUAAACAGGCCAUUGAUUGCUGCAGUGGAAAACUCACCUAUCGAUGCU